AUUGAACGCUGGCGGCAGGCCUAACACAUGCAAGUCGAACGAGUGGCGGACGGGUGAGUAAUGUCGGGGAAACUGCCCGAGGGAGGGGGAUAACUACUGGAAACGGUAGCUAAUCCCGCAUACCAUCGGAUGUGCCCAGAUGGGAUUAUCUUGUAGGUGAGGUAACGGCUCACCUAGGCGACGAUCCCUAGCUGGUCUGAGAGGAUGACCAGCCACACUUGAACUGAUACACGGUCCAGACUCCUACGGGGGUCAGCAGUGGGGAAUAGUGCACUAUGGGCGCAAGCCUGAUGCAGCCAUGCCGCGUGUAUGAAGAAGGCCUUCGGGUUUUAAAGUACUUUCAGCGGGGAGGCGUUACCCGCAGAAUAAGCACCGGCUAACUCCGUGCCAGCAGCCGCUGUAAUAC
rnacentral:rRNA from 1 species